CAUCCAUCGCCCCGUAUCCGAAGGAAGAGUCAAAGAUCGUUUUGCCAAUCCAAGUUUGUAUGUGAAGUAAUCACCAUCGAAAUUCCAUCCUCACUUCCGCUGACAGUGGGAUCCAGUGGUCGUAUGAGUGACCGGUGCGUACGUAUCUCACCAUCAGUCGUAGUGGGCCAGGGAAUAACGCUUGUAUGGAGGAGGAGAGGAGUAGAGGAAUCCCACAAUCUGACAGCUAUCCUUAUAGAGGCGCUCUUUACCGUAGAUGGACGCGGAACGUAGUUCUCCAAGCCGAUGUCAAAACCGAGGAACUGGCCCGAUUCAGAUGGAGAAGCGAUCUUUGUCUGUGUACAACAAAAAGCCCAUGGAGUCCCGAAAGUGAACGACAAAUUUGUCUGCAAACGUAGCCAGGAUUCGUAAAGAAUCAGCAAGUCUUCCAGGUAUACGAGGCAUCGCACGCCCAAACUUACGGAUGUGUGCCCUCACUGGUUACAGUAGGUUCGCGAGCAUCACGGAGUCGUAAACUUGCCGUGUUUGUCAUCACCAUUGGAAUCGGAGGAAAACUUACGCAGUCCAGGGCAACGGGUAC
rnacentral:lncRNA from 1 species